UGGGGAAUAUUGGACAAUGGGCGAAAGCCUGAUCCAGCCAUGCCGCGUGAGUGAAGAAGGCCUUCGGGUUGUAAAGCUCUUUCGGCGGGGACGAUGAUGACGGUACCCGCAUAAGAAGCCCCGGCAAACUUCGUGCCAGCAGCCGCGGUAAUACGAAGGGGGCUAGCGUUGUUCGGAAUUACUGGGCGUAAAGCGAACGUAGGCGGUGUUCCAUGUCAGAGGUGAAAGCCUGGGGCUCAACUCCAGAAUUGCCUUUGAAACGGGGACGCUUGAGUCCGAGAGAGGGUGGCGGAAUUCCUAGUGUAGAGGUGAAAUUCGUAGAUAUUAGGAAGAACACCAGUGGCGAAGGCGGCCACCUGGCUCGGUACUGACGCUCAGGUUCGAAAGCGUGGGGAGCAAACAG
rnacentral:rRNA from 1 species